GAUGAACGCUGGCGGCGUGCUUAACACAUGCAAGUCGAACGAAGCACUUUAUUUGAUUUCCUUCGGGACUGAUUAUUUUGUGACUGAGUGGCGGACGGGUGAGUAACGCGUGGGUAACCUGCCUUGUACAGGGGGAUAACAGUUGGAAACGGCUGCUAAUACCGCAUAAGCGCACAGCAUCGCAUGAUGCAGUGUGAAAAACUCCGGUGGUAUAAGAUGGGCCCGCGUUGGAUUAGCUAGUUGGUGAGGUAACGGCCCACCAAGGCGACGAUCCAUAGCCGACCUGAGAGGGUGACCGGCCACAGUGGGACUGAGACACGGCCCAAACUCCUACGGGAGGCAGCAGUGGGGAAUAUUGCACAAUGGGCGAAAGCCUGAUGCAGCGACGCCGCGUGAGCGAAGAAGUAUUUCGGUAUGUAAAGCUCUAUCAGCAGGGAAGAUAAUGACGGUACCUGACUAAGAAGCACCGGCUAAAUACGUG
rnacentral:rRNA from 1 species